rnacentral:rRNA from 1 species
UACAGAGGGGGCGAGCGUUGUUCGGAAUUACUGGGCGUAAAGGGCGCGUAGGCGGCCUGCUAAGUCGAACGUGAAAUCCCCGGGCUCAACCCGGGAACUGCGUCCGAUACUGGUGGGCUUGAAUCCGGGAGAGGGAUGUGGAAUUCCAGGUGUAGCGGUGAAAUGCGUAGAUAUCUGGAGGAACACCGGUGGCGAAGGCGGCAUCCUGGACCGGUAUUGACGCUGAGGCGCGAAAGCUAGGGGAGCAAACGGG